AGUGAACGCUGGCGGUAGGCCUAACACAUGCAAGUCGAACGGCAGCACAGUAAGAGCUUGCUCUUACGGGUGGCGAGUGGCGGACGGGUGAGGAAUACAUUGGAAUCUACUUUUUCGUGGGGGAUAACGUAGGGAAACUUACGCUAAUACCGCAUACGACCUACGGGUGAAAGCAGGGGAUCUUCGGACCUUGCGCGAUUGACUGAGCCGAUGUCGGAUUAGCUAGUUGGCGGGGUAAAGGUCCACCAAGGCGACGAUCCGUAGCUGGUCUGAGAGGAUGAUCAGCCACACUGGAACUGAGACACAGUCCAGACUCCUACGGGGGGCAGCGGUGGGGAAUAUUGGACAAUGGGCGCAAGCCUGAUCCAGCCAUACCGCGUGAGUGAAGAAGGCCUUCGGGUUGUAAAGCCCUUUUGUUGUGAAAGAAAAGCAGCAGGUUAAUACCCCGCUGUUCUGACGGUACCCAAAGAAUAAGCACCGGCUAACUUCGUG
rnacentral:rRNA from 1 species